rnacentral:rRNA from 1 species
UGGGGAAUAUUGGACAAUGGGCGAAAGCCUGAUCCAGCCAUGCCGCGUGUGUGAAGAAGGUCUUCGGAUUGUAAAGCACUUUAAGUUGGGAGGAAGGGCAUUAACCUAAUACGUUAGUGUUUUGACGUUACCGACAGAAUAAGCACCGGCUAACUCUGUGCCAGCAGCCGCGGUAAUACAGAGGGUGCAAGCGUUAAACGGAAUUACUGGGCGUAAAGCGCGCGUAGGUGGUAUGUUAAGUUGGAUGUGAAAUCCCCGGGCUCAACCUGGGAACUGCAUUCAAAACUGACUGACUAGAGUAUGGUAGAGGGUGGUGGAAUUUCCUGUGUAGCGGUGAAAUGCGUAGAUAUAGGAAGGAACACCAGUGGCGAAGGCGACCACCUGGACUAAUACUGACACUGAGGUGCGAAAGCGUGGGGAGCAAACA